rnacentral:rRNA from 1 species
GAUGAACGCUGGCGGCGUGCCUAAUACAUGCAAGUCGAGCGAACAGAUGAGGAGCUUGCUCCUCUGACGUUAGCGGCGGACGGGUGAGUAACACGUGGAUAACCUACCUAUAAGACUGGGAUAACUUCGGGAAACCGGAGCUAAUACCGGAUAAUAUAUUGAACCGCAUGGUUCAAUAGUGAAAGACGGUUUUGCUGUCACUUAUAGAUGGAUCCGCGCCGCAUUAGCUAGUUGGUAAGGUAACGGCUUACCAAGGCAACGAUGCGUAGCCGACCUGAGAGGGUGAUCGGCCACACUGGAACUGAGACACGGUCCAGACUCCUACGGGAGGCAGCAGUAGGGAAUCUUCCGCAAAGGGCGAAAGCUUGACGGAGCAACGCCGCGUGAGUGAUGAAGGUCUUCGGGUCGUAAAACUCUGUUAUUAGGGAAGAACAAAUGUGUAAGUAACUAUGCACGUCUUGACGGUACCUAAUCAGAAAGCCACGGCUAACUACGUG